GUAACAAAUCACCACGCACCUAAAACAACAAAGUUUAUUCUCUUAUAGUUCUGGAGGCCAGAUUUCUGAAGUCAAGGUGUUGGCAGGGCCAGGCUCCUUCUGAAGGCUCUAGGAAAGGAUCUGCUCCAUGCUUUUUUCAUCGGCUCUGGUGGUUGCUAACAAUUCUUGUCAUUCCUUGGUGUAUAGACACAUCACUCCAGUCUCUGCCCCCAUCUUCACAGGGGAUUUACUCCAUGUCCGUGUCUCUUCACCUGCCCUUCUUAUAAAGACACCAGUCGUUGGGUUUAGGGUCCUCCCAGAGUAUGACCUGCUCUCAACUAAUUAUAUCUGCAAAGACCUUAUGUCCAGGCAUUGCAACGCCUGUCAGCGCCUGACCCCUGUUCCUUGGGCCUUCCCUCUUCAGUGCAGAUGGCCCGCUUCUACUUGCCAAUAUCUGCAUCUCUUUGCCUGAAGACUUUUCAGAGACCUCUCCACCUGUGCUUGGGGCAGGCCAGAAGUGCCAAGGAAUUAGCCUAGAGGUGGCUGCCAACCUGAUGGGACUUGGCGUACAAUUCCCUUGCUCUGGCACGCUGCUAGACUAACCCUAGGCAUGUGCUACACUAUUCCCCAGACUUUCUCUGCCCAAUUAAGAUCUAGUUGCCCCAGGUAGCUUCGGAUUGGUCAUGAACCCUUAUUGCUGGCCUCUCUCCUCUUCACUCCUCUGUGGUGUUUUAUGUACCUCCCAAGUGAACUUUUUUUUAAAAAACAAAAA